rnacentral:rRNA from 1 species
GAUGAACGCUGGCGGCGUGCCUAAUACAUGCAAGUCGAGCGAAGAGGGGACGGGGGAGGAACACGUGGAAAAACUCCUAUACGACUGGGAUAACUUCGGGGAACCGGUGCUAAACCGGAUACUUAGAGAUGGAUCUAGGCUGCAUUAGCUAGUGGGUAAGGUAACGGCUGACCAAGGCAACGAUGCAUAGCCGACCUGAGAGGGGGAUCGGCCACACUGGAACUGAGACACGGUCCAGACUCCUACGGGAGGCAGCAGUAGGGAAUCUUCCGCAAUGGGCGAAAGCCUGACCGAGCAACGCCGCGUGAGUGAUGAAGGUCUUCGGAUCGUAAAACUCUGUUAUUAGGGAAGCGGUACCUAAUCAGAAAGCCACGGCUAACUACGUGCCAGCAGCCGCGGUAAUAC